UUAAGCAUGUCAACGAUACCAAUCUGUACCAAGGGUCUUAGGGGUAUUGCUGCACUGAAUGAAGUUAGUUCAAUGAAGUAUUAGUCCACCUUUUGUAACAUAUAACUGGACACUUGCUUAUGCAAAUUGAGCCUCAGACCUCACAUUAUUAACAUGCUCUAGGACCUAGUAUUAAGUACAGAAAGUAUAUACGUAUCCCCUGUAAUUAAGCGUUUUAGUUGCAGCCAAAAACCCUCUCAAGUAUGGACCGGCCUCAGAUAGUCUGAAAUUAUAUGACAGGGCAGCCAAUAACAAUAUACAGGACUUCAAACCUGUGACGUCAUACCAAGGGAGUCAACAACAUAAGUGAGCCAGCGACACUGACGGCAAUGUGGAAGACCCUGCCGGUGUCGGAAGGAAUUAGGAGCCCGCCGACAACAUCACAGGCAGUUCUGAAAGACCAAUAACUUAGCCGAGUGGAACGGCACAACCACCAAAUCUCCAGCCCAGGCAGAAUCGAAGCAGAUGUGCACCAAUAGCACCAGCAGUGAUGUGGUCGUGCAGAGAGCCAUGCAGACAUCUGAAAUGCUACCGCACCUUGCCCACACCACCAAUGUGCUCUGCCAGCCCUGAGGUUUGUGACUAUGUUGGUCAACGAGACUUGUAUGUCCCUAUACUGCUUGCCCGAGGCAACCAUCUGGUCGACAAGCAUAUAAGCUUUCACAGCGAAAGAUCUGUAAUUAAGUCUUUAUGCUGUUUAUCACCAUUCCUGUAUUACUCUAAAUAUAUGUCCUCUGUCAUAAGAACUUUAGAGUACACAAAUGAAAGAAGUGAAUUUCUCCUUAAAAACAAAAGAUUGUCUUUUAAGGCAGUUACAUAUUAUGUCAAAUAAGGUAGUUUCAUUUAUGUAAAAUAAAACAUUUUAAAGUUUCUUA